CUCGCCUUCGGCCCGCUGCGCCCCGAGCCCCGCGAGCCGCCCCGCGGGCUGGACAGGGCCCGGCAGGGGGACGAGCCCAGGUUCAUCCCGUCCCCUCCCAGCCUGGCCCUGCAGGAAGAGCUCAAGGUGUCCACCAAGGCCGUGACCCUCAGCAACCACCUGGGCAGGGUCGGGCUGGAGGAGAGCCAUCGCCAGGAGGGCAAAGCCGCCCGGCCCGCGGCUCCUCCGGGCUCCUCCGCCCGGCCGGCCAAGGACGGAGCGCCCCAGGACGCCGGGAGGGAGGAGAAGAAAGCCAAGGGAGGCUUCUUCCACCACGGGGGCGCCCGCAGCGACGCGGGGGGCGAAGGCCAGCGGGACAGAGGGACCCCCGUCCACGCCCCGGCCGCGGGGGACGAGAGGAGUAAGAGCAGCGGCUGGUUUGGGUCCAAGGAGCCCCGAGAGUCCCCUCCUCAGAAACCCAGUUUCCCGCCUGGGCCGCGUGCUGCGCCAGAGGUCGCUGGGAGCUUUUGUUCCUCUGAGGAUUGCAGUGCCUCUGCCUCCCCAAGGCAGACAGACCCCGAGAGGGAGUCUCCAGCCCAAAGCGUUGGUGUGCCCGUGCCAGAAACCACUCCCCCAGCGCCGGGAGAGCUCCCUCCUGCCGGCAGCGACCCCGCCGUCCCCCCGCUGCCCUCCGAGUGGGACGAUACCUUCGAUGCCUUUGCCACCAGCAGGCUCAAACCGGAGCGGAAGAAGGAGAACUUCUUUGCCUCGGUGGCAGCAGAGGACAUGGCUUUCAUCGACGACCCCAACAGAGCCAGCCCCACCGAGAGCUCAGCGGAGCCCCCCUGCCAGAAGGGCUCCAAAGUGUUCGAAAAGGCCGAGUCGCCCGUCGGCGCUGAGAUCCCUGCGGCUCUGCGCUCCUGGACAAAUUUCUCCGCUUUAGACGUGGGGGCCAACCUGGUGAGCACCACCCAGGAGGCCACGGUGAUCGAGGACGUGCUGAGCCCCGUGUCCGCGGGGUCCGUGGCCAGGAGGAGGAAAAGCAGCACGCCCACGGUCUGGACGGCCGCGUUUGCCUCGGGCGAGCCCGGGGACAAAGAGGCGUCGGCGGCACCGAGCGCCGCAAACAGCGCUAGGGAGGAGGGGGCCAGCGGUGAGGAGGAGCCCUGCGGCGCAGGGACCGACGGCUGGAUGACCAUAGCCACGGAAACGGCCGCCGAGCCCUCGGCCAGCGCCCCGAGCGCGGCCCGGGAGCGCGCGGCUCCCGCGGGCCCCUUCGGCCCGCGCCCGCCCUUCCUG
ensembl:lncRNA